CGCAUUCAUCACAGCGGUUGUGUACUUUGAAAGCUGUGCGGAUGCGGACACAUCCAAGAUGCAUCCGGACGCGGACAGUAAAGAAUACCCGGGCCUUGUGCGCGUGUUUAGGGAAUAACCCGGUAAACUUUAAACGGCUCUGAUACGUCCAGCUGACUUCGGCCCACGAGCUCCUCAAAGUCGCUGCUCUUGUUCAGCGCGCACCUGAGACGCGUUUUCCAGUGUUACUCAUAUAGUGACUUUCAUCACCUUGAAGAGCGCCGCGUCCUCGUCUCUGUUAUAGUCCUGCUUCCCUGCGUGUUUCCAUGGGAUGCGGAAGGUGGUUCGCUCUCGAUCCUCCCACACUAACCCGGGAUAU